ACAUGGCGGCGUCCAGCAUUUCGUGUGUGCGUCGUAGUGCCGAGUUUUGUUCAAGCGGUGGAUUUUUACUGCGUUGCCUCGCGUUGUGUGUUGUGUGUUGCGGUUACUGACGUAAGCGCAAGUUCUUCACUGAGUGUGAUCCGCGGCACCGUGCAAAUAGUCACCAGAUGCCGGCCGUGCGACUCCGUUCUCUGCGACUCCUUUGUUCGGUGUGAUCGAAGUACGUACGUGAUUCAUAGCUUUGGAGACCCUCUUUACACCGUGCCCUCUUCAAAUGUUUCCGCACAUCACCGAGUAGCAGCGCCGCAGUCCUUACUCGACGACACGCUCUGUGGGUCUGGAAAAUGCCUUGACGCUCGAGCACUUCGGGAGCUAUACCGGCGGACAGCCGGACGCGGGUAUCUUGGUCGUUCCUUGCUCUGCGCAUCGCUUGAAAACCGGCGGUCAUACUCCAGUGUACGCUGCCAGCGUGCUUUAUUGCCAGAGCCGCCUCCCCUUCUGGUGAUGACCAUAUGCAGCCAAUGCUGAUGUGAACCUGAGUGAUGAACAAAUGCAGAUCUGCAAAGGAGCUGUCCUGAGGCACCAUGAUUACUCAAGUC